AAGCGUGAAGAAGGCUUGAGGCAUAAAUGUAUUUUUGAUCUUAACAUUAGCUGGAUUUGAUUGGUUACCACACAAUAAUUAUAAACUUGGAAAUGGAAAGAAAUAUCUAAAUAUUAUUUGUACAAGCCCAAUUUCACCCGGACCUCAAAACCCCAACCAAUUAAAACCAAAGUCUAAAUUUUAGAUCCAACUACCCUAGCCCAAUACAGCUCAAAACCCUCUUAACCCUAGCCCAUAACAAUUAGAAAAAAAGAAGACUAAAAACCCUAAAAACCCUAGCCACCGCCCCUAUGCCUGACUUUCGGCCAACUGCCCUCUGACUUCUGCCAUGCCGCCGCUGUCAGCGUCUCUGCCACCACCUGCUCCACCCUCCCCACUUGCACCACCGCCUGCAAGAAAUAAAGAAGGAAUUGACAACAAUAAUAAAGAAAUAUUGUAAAUGGCUAUAUAAGCCAAGCAAAAUAAAUGUAAAAGAGGAAUUUUUUUUUUGAAAUAAUAAAAAACAGACAAAAAAUACAAGAAAACAAACACUUCUUCUCUUAAAAAAAAGUAAUCAGAUCGAAGAAAAAUAGAAACACAAGAUCUCCAAGGUGAUUUAAUCUUUUCGUUUUUCUUUUGAGUCAUUUAUUAUACAUAAAAAAAAUAAAAUAAAAAGAAGAAAGGAAGUUCAAAAAACAAGCUAAGGUCUUUUAUGUUUUUAUUUUUCUUUCUUUCGAAAUCGCUCAUAUACAUGUGUAUUUCUCUUUAUUUUAUUUUCCUUUUUAAAGCUAUAUAUUUAUACAUAUUAAGAAGGGAUUUUUUUUAAAAAAAAGAAAAGAAAAGAAACGAAAAGAAAAACUUACCUUUUAAUCGCAAAAAAAAGGAGCGAUUUUUUGAUUUUUCGGCUACCGCGGACGGCGGCGCUGUCACCGGCAACAGGAGGCCCUGCGGUGGUCCGGUGACCGGAGACCUGGCCUGGCCUUGGGAGCUUUGAGAGAAGGGAGGGGAGCCUUUUUGUUUUUUUUUU
rnacentral:lncRNA from 1 species